GAGUUUGAUCCUGGCUCAGAACGAACGCUGGCGGUAUGCUUAACACAUGCAAGUCGAACGAACAAAAUUGGGGCUUGCUCCAAUUUUAGUGAGUGGCAAACGGGUGAGUAACACGUGGGAAUCUACCUAUCAGUACGGAAUAACAUUUGGAAACAGAUGCUAAUACCGUAUAUUCUCUAAGGAGGAAAGAUUUAUCGCUGAUAGAUGAGCCCGCGCAAGAUUAGGUAGUUGGUAGGGUAAUGGCCUACCAAGCCUACGAUCUUUAGCUGGUCUGAGAGGAUGAUCAGCCACACUGGGACUGAAUCACGGCCCAGACUCCUACGAGAGGCAGCAGUGGGGAAUAUUGGACAAUGGGCGAAAGCCUGAUCCAGCAAUACCGCGUGAAUGAUGAAGGCCUAAAAACUUUUUUUAAAGGAAAUAAUGACAAGUUCCCAAUUACCGUUAUCGGUGCUGGUUCAAAUGUAAUUAUUAGAGAUAAAGGAAUAGAAGGAGUCGUUA
rnacentral:ncRNA from 1 species